rnacentral:SRP_RNA from 1 species
GCUGGGCUUGGUAGCACGAGCCUGUAACCUGAGUGGGAGCAUUAAGAUGGUGGAACAGUUGGCCAUUCCUUGAAGGUUGGGCCUUGGUUGCAAUUUACUGGCUUGCCCGUUCCAAGUGGUGAGUUGUGCCGUGGAUUCUCUGCGAAGGUAGAGGCUUCUCGAUCCUUAGAUUGGAGGGCACUGCGUGAGGCUGGCUUCACAGAGCAGCGAAAACCUCCUCCUCUCUACAGUGGAAGGAUAACGAGCCAGUACAUCCUCUACCCACUAGCCCUGGACCACACAGCCCAAUAGAGCCCGUA